UUUUUUCAAUCUUAUUAUGUUAUGUUUACUACAUUAACAUCUACAUUUUUUUUUUUUGGCAUCAUUGUGGGUAUCUGGGCCCAUGGACUGGUAAUACCGUACGGCCCAACUAAUCCCACAGCGGGUUGGGAGCGGCCUGCCCCAAGCAUCACCAGCCACGGUAGUAGCCGGGAUUCGAUCCCUGGACGUGGCUCUCCCCCAACUGAGACUACAACCACGGGACCGAACCC
rnacentral:lncRNA from 1 species